GAUGAACGCUGGCGGCGUGCCUAACACAUGCAAGUCGAGCGGCAGCGAGGGGUGCUUGCACCCUGUCGGCGAGCGGCGGACGGCUGAGUAACGCGUGGGAACGUUCCCCAAAGUGAGGAAUAACUGCCCGAAGGGGUAGCUAAUACCGCAUAUUAUCUUCGAAUCAAAGGAUUUAUCCGCUUUGGGAGCGGAUCGCGUCGGAUUAGGUAGUUGGUGAGGUAAUGUCUCAACAAGCCGACGAUCCGUAGAUGGUAUGAGAGGAUGACCAGCCAGACUGGAACUGAGACACAGUCGAGACUCCUACGGGAGGCAGCAGUGAGGAAUCGACCAAAAUGGGGGAAAGCCUGAUGGAGUAACGCUACGUGAAGGAUGAAGGCCGUCGGGUUGAAAACUGCUUUUAUAAGUGAGGAAUAUGACGGUAACUUAUGAAUAAGGAUCGGCUAACUACGUG
rnacentral:rRNA from 1 species